CAGUCGCCACGGUAAUACGGAGGGUGCAAGCGUUAAUCGGAAUUACUGGGCGUAAAGCGCACGCAGGCGGUCUGUCAAGUCAGAUGUGAAAUCCCCGGGCUUAACCUGGGAACUGCAUUUGAAACUGGCAGGCUAGAGUCUUGUAGAGGGGGGUAGAAUUCCAGGUGUAGCGGUGAAAUGCGUAGAGAUCUGGAGGAAUACCGGUGGCGAAGGCGGCCCCCUGGACAAAGACUGACGCUCAGGUGCGAAAGCGUGGGGAGCAAACAGGAUUAGAUACCCGGGUAGUCCCUGUCUCUUAUAC
rnacentral:rRNA from 1 species